GUGAGGAAUAUUGCGCAAUGGAGGCAACUCUGACGCAGCCAUGCCGCGUGCAGGAAGAAGGCGCUACGCGUUGUAAACUGCUUUUAACCGGGAAGAAACCCCAGGACGUGUCCUGGGUUGACGGUACCGGAGGAAUAAGCACCGGCUAACUUCGUGCCAGCAGCCGCGGUAAUACGAAGGGUGCAAGCGUUAUCCGGAUUCAUUGGGUUUAAAGGGUGCGUAGGCGGAGCGUUAAGUCAGUGGUGAAAUCCUGCAGCUUAACUGUAGACUUGCCAUUGAUACUGGCGCUCUUGAGUGCGCUUGAAGUGGGCGGAAUGUGCCGUGUAGCGGUGAAAUGCUUAGAUAUGGCACAGAACACCAAUUGCGAAGGCAGCUCACUAAGGCGAUACUGACGCUGCGGCACGAAAGCGUGGGGAUCGAACAGGAUUAGAUACCCGAGUAGUCC
rnacentral:rRNA from 1 species